rnacentral:rRNA from 1 species
UACAGAGGGUGCGAGCGUUAAUCGGAAUUACUGGGCGUAAAGCGCGCGUAGGCGGCUUUGCAAGUCGGGUGUGAAAUCCCCAGGCUUAACCUGGGAACUGCAUUCGAGACUGCAUUGCUAGAGUAUGGGAGAGGGCAGUGGAAUUUCCGGUGUAGCGGUGAAAUGCGUAGAUAUCGGAAGGAACACCUAUGGCGAAGGCAGCUCGCUGGGACGUUACCGACGCUGAGACGCGAAAGCGUGGGGAGCAAACAGG